rnacentral:tRNA from 1 species
GGGAGUAAGAUGACCAAGAAGAAGCUACUAACUUCUACCUUAAGCGGUUAAAAUCCGUUUGUACUCCUG